rnacentral:rRNA from 1 species
ACGCUGGCGGCGUGCCUAAUACAUGCAAGUCGAGCGAACAGACGAGGAGCUUACUCCUCUGACGUUAGCGGCGGACGGGUGAGUAACACGUGGAUAACCUACCUAUAAGACUGGGAUAACUUCGGGAAACCGGAGCUAAUACCGGAUAACAUGUUGAACCGCAUGGUUCAACAGUGAAAGACGGUCUUGCUGUCACUUAUAGAUGGAUCCGCGUCGCAUUAGCUAGUUGGUAAGGUAACGGCUUACCAAGGCAACGAUGCGUAGCCGACCUGAGAGGGUGAUCGGCCACACUGGAACUGAGACACGGUCCAGACUCCUACGGGAGGCAGCAGUAGGGAAUCUUCCGCAAUGGGCGAAAGCCUGACGGAGCAACGCCGCGUGAGUGAAGAAGGUCUUCGGAUCGUAAAACUCUGUUAUUAGGGAAGAACAAAUGUGUAAGUAACUAUGCACGUCUUGACGGUACCUAAUCAGAAAGCCACGGCUAACUACGUGCCAGCAGCCGCGGUAAUACGUAGGUGGCAAGCGUUAUCCGGAAUUAUUGGGCGUAAAGCGCGCGUAGGCGGUUUUUUAAGUCUGAUGUGAAAGCCCACGGCUCAACCGUGGAGGGUCAUUGGAAACUGGAAAACUUGAGUGCAGAAGAGGAAAGUGGAAUUCCAUGUGUAGCGGUGAAAUGCGCAGAGAUAUGGAGGAACACCAGUGGCGAAGGCGACUUUCUGGUCUGUAACUGACGCUGAUGUGCGAAAGCGUGGGGAUCAAACAGGAUUAGAUACCCUGGUAGUCCACGCCGUAAACGAUGAGUGCUAAGUGUUAGGGGGUUUCCGCCCCUUAGUGCUGCAGCUAACGCAUUAAGCACUCCGCCUGGGGAGUACGACCGCAAGGUUGAAACUCAAAGGAAUUGACGGGGACCCGCACAAGCGGUGGAGCAUGUGGUUUAAUUCGAAGCAACGCGAAGAACCUUACCAAAUCUUGACAUCCUCUGACCCCUCUAGAGAUAGAGUUUUCCCCUUCGGGGGACAGAGUGACAGGUGGUGCAUGGUUGUCGUCAGCUCGUGUCGUGAGAUGUUGGGUUAAGUCCCGCAACGAGCGCAACCCUUAAGCUUAGUUGCCAUCAUUAAGUUGGGCACUCUAAGUUGACUGCCGGUGACAAACCGGAGGAAGGUGGGGAUGACGUCAAAUCAUCAUGCCCCUUAUGAUUUGGGCUACACACGUGCUACAAUGGACAAUACAAAGGGUAGCGAAACCGCGAGGUCAAGCAAAUCCCAUAAAGUUGUUCUCAGUUCGGAUUGUAGUCUGCAACUCGACUACAUGAAGCUGGAAUCGCUAGUAAUCGUAGAUCAGCAUGCUACGGUGAAUACGUUCCCGGGUCUUGUACACACCGCCCGUCACACCACGAGAGUUUGUAACACCCGAAGCCGGUGGAGUAACCUUUUGGAGCUAGCCGUCGAAGGUGGGAC